GCUGGAUGGGGCUGUUGUUGCAGCGUGCACACCGCAGCUGCACGCAAACAGCUGGAAACACACACUGACUGACAGGGGGAUGAAUCCAUGGGUCCUAAAACCCACCAUGUUCCUGCACCAUGCGCCAUGCAGCCUGCCAUCACUGAGGAUGGACCCGACAGCGUCAUGUUGCACACUGCCUCGUCAUGCAUGUAGCGAUGUUAAGUUUACAACCAUGGAUGACUCGUUAUUAUCAAGUCUCCUGCACUGUGCAAGUGGAAAUCAACAGGAAGUCAAUUCAAGGGCCCCUGGGAUCCCACCGUCACUCCAGGAGCUUCCCAUCUGGAGAGGGCCUGUGUCACACGUGAGCGCAGCGGAAGCAUGAGCAUCGCACACUGUUGUUUCUAUUCCCAUGUAGUAAGAGCA